GCCAGGAUCCAAGAAAAUUCCCAGGUGCUGGACUGGAGUCUCUCAGAGGAGGCGAUGGCGGCGCUGCGAACCCUGGACCGCGGGGAGGAAGCUCGCUCCUUCAACUUCCUCAAGAACAGAGGGUUUGAGCUGCACCCCGAGUGCCCCGUCAACCGACCUGUGCUGUGAUGCUGGCGUCGCUUGGUAGCGGCUGGCUAGUCUGCGGCGAUCUUUUAUAUCUUUUUUAUUCCAGUAUGGGAACUGUGUUGUCUUCUGUUAUGCGUACUUAAUGUACCUUUUACUUCGAUGAUUUGUUGGUUAGUAUUUUAUUGUCUAUCAUUUGCUGCAAACGAACCAUAAACCUGCACGCGAACGGACAUCUCUUCGUGCAAAAUGUAUGCAUAAAUUUAUUUCGGAGCAUUGUGAAGGUUAACACACAUUUGCGAGGCCUUGUACAAUGUAUAUCAAAUAUCUUCAGCUUUAGGGGCCAGCGGGAUUUUCCUUGCCAUAUACUUUUCAUUCCAUGUAAUUAGCUCAGAGAACGCCAAAGUGUUAAGGUCGGCCGCGUUUAUGCAAUCACAAAAACGUUUAACCUGUUUCACGUUCAUGUAAGUUUCUAUGCAUCUGACUCACCAUGAGAGUAAAUGCGUUAAAACACACGAAGCUAUCAAUAAGCGGCGCCAUCUCGAGCCCCAACUUAAUUCCUACAAUUGGGUAUGUUGUUUUUCUGCAGUGGUUUUCAAUAAUAAUUAUUGUUUUGGAUGAAGCCUUUCUUGUGGGUGCAUGUGUCAUUGGACCUUUUUUGUAAAUUUCCAGACUUGGUGAUGCGGGUGCGUGUGUUUUCUGGCCCGUGGUAAAAAUCUGACAAUUCCGAACUGAAGCCCCAAAAAAAUUUUUUAUAAGAACUAAUUGAACAUAAAUGCUAUGUUACCAGACGUCGAAUCUUACAUAUGUGUAGAUUUUUGUAAAUUAGCGAGUCGUCAGAAUGCAGUAUAAGUAAUUCUCCAUGACCUUCUAAUAUAUCUGCUUCG
rnacentral:lncRNA from 1 species